UACAUCUUGGUGUAUGAUGCACGAUGGUUUUUGAUGCUUUAAGUAAUAGUUUAAUUCUGUUAGAUGUAA
rnacentral:tRNA from 1 species